rnacentral:rRNA from 2 species
UGUCGGGUAAGUUCCGACCUGCACGAAUGGCGUAAUGAUGGCCAGGCUGUCUCCACCCGAGACUCAGUGAAAUUGAACUCGCUGUGAAGAUGCAGUGUACCCGCGGCAAGACGGAAAGACCCCGUGAACCUUUACUAUAGCUUGACACUGAACAUUGAGCCUUGAUGUGUAGGAUAGGUGGGAGGCUUUGAAGUGUGGACGCCAGUCUGCAUGGAGCCGACCUUGAAAUACCACCCUUUAAUGUUUGAUGUUCUAACGUGGACCCGUGAUCCGGGUUGCGGACAGUGUCUGGUGGGUAGUUUGACUGGGGCGGUCUCCUCCUAAAGAGUAACGGAGGAGCACGAAGGUUGGCUAAUCCUGGUCGGACAUCAGGAGGUUAGUGCAAUGGCAUAAGCCAGCUUGACUGCGAGCGUGACGGCGCGAGCAGGUGCGAAAGCAGGUCAUAGUGAUCCGGUGGUUCUGAAUGGAAGGGCCAUCGCUCAACGGAUAAAAGGUACUCCGGGGAUAACAGGCUGAUACCGCCCAAGAGUUCAUAUCGACGGCGGUGUUUGGCACCUCGAUGUCGGCUCAUCACAUCCUGGGGCUGAAGUAGGUCCCAAGGGUAUGGCUGUUCGCCAUUUAAAGUGGUACGCGAGCUGGGUUUAGAACGUCGUGAGACAGUUCGGUCCCUAUCUGCCGUGGGCGCUGGAGAACUGAGGGGGGCUGCUCCUAGUACGAGAGGACCGGAGUGGACGCAUCACUGGUGUUCGGGUUGUCAUGCCAAUGGCACUGCCCGGUAGCUAAAUGCGGAAGAGAUAAGUGCUGAAAGCAUCUAAGCACGAAACUUGCCCCGA